CCGUAAUGAUGAUCGGAGUCGUAUUACCCGUCGCCUGCAUCAUGUACCGUUAUAAGCGCCUCCCUCCAUCUUCCGAAUACUCCAAAUAGACGUAGUGUUUGUUUUUGGAGACAGAAGAAGAGAAGACAAAAAUAUAGACAACUAAUAAAAAGUGUUUGAAGACGGAGACAUGGACAUUAAACACAUUGUUUUUAGGAUAAUUUUUUAUAUUUUUAUGUCCACUAUUUUAUGAAGGACAAUGAUGAAUACGAAAUUUGGAAAGGUGGACAUAGACUUUUUUAUGAAAAUUUUUUUCAAUAUUUUUUAUUA